CCAGAGAACUUUCCAGAGAUGGAUUGGUGCCUUCGGGAACUCUGAGACAGGUGCUGCAUGGCUGUCGUCAGCUCGUGUUGUGAAAUGUUGGGUUAAGUCCCGCAACGAGCGCAACCCUUAUCCUUUGUUGCCAGCGGUUAGCCGGGAACUCAAAGGAGACUGCCAGUGAUAAACUGGAGGAAGGUGGGGAUGACGUCAAGUCAUCAUGGCCCUUACGAGUAGGGCUACACACGUGCUACAAUGGCGCAUACAAAGAGAAGCGACCUCGCGAGAGCAAGCGGACCUCAUAAAGUGCGUCGUAGUCCGGAUUGGAGUCUGCAACUCGACUCCAUGAAGUCGGAAUCGCUAGUAAUCGUAGAUCAGAAUGCUACGGUGAAUACGUUCCCGGGCCUUGUACACACCGCCCGUCACACCAUGGGAGUGGGUUGCAAAAGAAGUAGGUAGCUUAACCUUCGGGAGGGCGCUUACCACUUUGUGAUUCAUGACUGGGGUGAAGUCGUAACAAGGUAAGCGUAGUGCU
rnacentral:rRNA from 1 species